CCUACGGUGGCUGCAGUGGGGAAUAUUGGACAAUGGGCGAAAGCCUGAUCCAGCCAUGCCGCGUGUGUGAAGAAGGCCUUCGGGUUGUAAAGCACUUUCAGUGGGGAAGAAAGCCUUGGGGCUAAUACCCUCGAGGAAGGACAUCACCCACAGAAGAAGCACCGGCUAACUCCGUGCCAGCAGCCGCGGUAAUACGGAGGGUGCGAGCGUUAAUCGGAAUUACUGGGCGUAAAGCGCGCGUAGGCGGUCUGAUAAGCCGGUUGUGAAAGCCCCGGGCUCAACCUGGGAACGGCAUCCGGAACUGUCAGGCUAGAGUGCAGGAGAGGAAGGUAGAAUUCCCGGUGUAGCGGUGAAAUGCGUAGAGAUAGGGAGGAAUACCAGUGGCGAAGGCGGCCUUCUGGACUGACACUGACGCUGAGGUGCGAAAGCGUGGGUAGCAAACAGGAUUAGAUACCCGUGUAGUC
rnacentral:rRNA from 1 species